AUAUGACAGGCGUAUCAAAAAUAUAAUAAAAGAAAAAUCAGAAUUGUAUUGUAUUUUCCACCUAUAGGUUUUCUCGAUCCAAUUAAAACAAAAUUUGCUAUCAAUUUUUUUUUACACAAGUUCCAUCUGCGAAUACUCUACAUAUGCAAUAUAUAGUUUCUAGCUUCUAUAGUUUCCGAAAAUCGAAGUGUUCUCUAUUUUUGGGCAAAAUCAACUUAUAGCCUACUAAAGUAUUGGAGUAAAUUGUAGAAGUCAAGUGGAUUACAGCAGCAUAGCAAAAACACGUGUUUUGAAUUUGUGAUAUAUUUAAGUUUAAGAUUUACGGAUACUCAUUUCAGUGAAUCAAAUUACCAUAUUGGUUUGGGGCUAUUAUCGUCAUUGAAGCCAGACACUUGGUAUAUCUACUAACCUUGUCUGAUAAUGAGUUAAGAUAUACAUGUAUGUUACUAGCGUUAUACCGUACCGUUUGGUCUCAGAAAUUAAACUCUAAAACUUG